UACGGAGGGGGCAAGCGUUGUUCGGAAUUACUGGGCGUAAAGGGCGCGUAGGCGGCCCUCUAAGUCGAACGUGAAAUCCCCGGGCUCAACCCGGGAACUGCGUCCGAGACUGAAAGGCUCGAAUCCGGGAGAGGGAUGUGGAAUUCCAGGUGUAGCGGUGAAAUGCGUAGAUAUCUGGAGGAACAUCGGUGGCGAAGGCGGCAUCCUGGACCGGUAUUGACGCUGAGGCGCGAAAGCCAGGGGAGCAAACAGG
rnacentral:rRNA from 1 species